rnacentral:rRNA from 1 species
AUUGAACGCUGGCGGUAUGCUUAACACAUGCAAGUCGAACGGUAACAGGCCUUCGGGCGCUGACGAGUGGCGGACGGGUGCGUAACGCGUAGGAAUCUGCCGAUUAGUGGGGGACAACUUGGGGAAACUCAAGCUAAUACCGCAUACGCCCUACGGGGGAAAGCGGGGGACCUUCGGGCCUCGCGCUAAUCGAUGAGCCUGCGUUGGAUUAGCUAGUUGGUAGGGUAAAGGCCUACCAAGGCGACGAUCCAUACCUGGUCUGAGAGGACGAUCAGCCACACUGGGACUGAGACACGGCCCAGACUCCUACGGGAGGCAGCAGUGGGGAAUAUUGGACAAUGGGCGAAAGCCUGAUCCAGCAAUACCGCGUGUGUGAAGAAGGCCUGAGGGUUGUAAAGCACUUUUAAUCGGGAGGAACAUCUGGUGGUUAAUACCCAUCAGUCUGACAUUACCGAUAGAAAAAGCACCGGCUAACUCCGUGCCAGCAGCCGCCGUAAAAC